rnacentral:lncRNA from 10 species
AAUAAAGUCACUUACCCAAAACCAGAUUCCAUUGUCAAUAAGAGGAGAUUUGGAUUGUACAGUUUCAUCUGACAACUAUGUUGGAAUUCAACUUUUUAGCAGAAGUCAGAAAGCAACUGUUCUUUCAACCAAACUGUUUUUUUCUCAAGAAUACACCAGCAAUCUCUGAAGCAUUUUCAUUUGACCACUUUUUUUAGAAGGGGCUCGUAAGCUUGUGUUAUACUAAAGCUUAGCUCCUCAAGCAAACUGGUGUUUUCCCUUUUUGUUAUCAGUAGAGGACUUUCAUUGUUGCUUUUUUUCUUCAGUAGAGUUUUUGAAAUCUGCAGGGGCUUUUCUGUUUUUCUUUUGUUUUGCUCUUUUUUGCUUUUUUUUAAAGAAAGUUUUUAAAUGUUCAUUUAGUAAUGGAGUCAAAGUGGAACCAGGAAGGCAAUUCUUAAAAAAAAAAAAAUUGUCCAAAACUAAAAUUCCUGACCUUAAUGGAAAAUAAAAAAUUUUACCAUUAAAUCAUGAGACAAAUGCAGUUAGGAUAUAUCAGCUAUCAAAGUGCAGAAAUCAAGUCUCCAUGAGAAAUAAACCUUUGCUGCUGGGUACCUUUCUCGUGAACUCCAGCAUCCACGACAGCCUGCUGUCUUCUCUCCAUGAUUCUUUCACUAUGAUGGCAGAAAAUCAAGACUUGGAGGAGACUGUUAUAUAAAGUUUCUCUAACAUUCAUUACAUUUAUCUAAGGACUCUAUCAGAUACUUUCAGUGUGGUCUCUCCUAAGUUCAUUGAAAUUCAAAAUAAUUAAUUGAAGUAAAGCCCUGCAUUUGUGCAUGCGUUCUGAGCAAUUAAGUGGAGUGAAACACAUGUAUUGCUAAUCUUGCAUGCUGUGAUUAAGAUAGAAAUGAAGACGUCCAUCAAACGAGAUUACUUCUUCAUCAACAAGGCUCAGAAAUGUUUCUACAGCUGUUUAGAUCGUUUUAAUUGUAUCAGAGCCUCUCACAUCAUGGUUUAAGUGAGGCACUAUUUCCCCCCAUUAAAAAAGAGAAUAUGAAGAUAUGAGAGUAUACUAAUCCGCAUGUGAAAGAAAUCACAAUGCAUUUAAAGGUUUCUUUACCAAUAAAAUUAGAUUAGCU